AUAAUGAUACUUUUCUACGGAGCUGGCGGAGUACCCGGCAGAGGUGAGAUUCCUAUGA
rnacentral:ncRNA from 1 species